GGAAAAACAUUUAUGGUGAUCAGAUUCUGCAAUUAAUAUGCACAUAAUUCAUUCUCACUCAUUAAUGUUAAACUCACUCUGAGCUUCUAAUGAGUUAAACUUGUCCUGAGAGACAGAGCAAGAGAAAUACAUUAUUUUAAGUGAACAUGAAUCAGCAAAAAUUGAUGACAUCACAAACAAUGACAAAUUGAAUACUCAGAUUUGUCACUUUUAUCUUUGGAAAUUGGAAUUUGGAACAAUAGAAUAACACUUUACAGGCAACAUUUCUUUCACGUUCAAUCUUCUUUCCUUCUCAUGCCGUUUUCUUUUGUUGUUUCUCUUCUUCUAUCUUAGCCUUGAGGUAGGAGUAGAUUGCCACUCCAAGAAUUGCAAUGGUUGUUCCAAUACCAGUUUGUGUUGAAAUCUUAUUGCCAAAGACCACGAUUGAGAAACCAAUCACAAAUACACGUUUCAGCACAUUCCCAACUGCAUGCGUAAGGGGUGCAACCCUCUCCAAAGUGUUGGUAGCCAACUGGUUGUAGAGGUGAUAAAACAUUCCCACCCAGAAGAGGUCUGAGAUGAAUUUGGUGAUGCCCACUUUAGCAAUUGCAUCGUUAAAUCCGUACUUCAGUAGUUGAGGUCCCUCCAAAAUAAUGGCAGGUGGAAUACAGGCAAUGAGAGCAAUGAUGGAAAUGUAAGCAUAGAGAUUAGUGCUGUCCAUAUCAGUCUGCAGAAGAAUUAGACAGACAGAGGCAAUUAAUAAAUAAAAAAAAGGCAUUAAAUCAAUUAGCAUUUAGUAGAAAAGAAAACAUGAGUGUAAAGUCACCAUAGCUUUCUUUGAGUAAAUACUCCUGUAAGUGAAGGAGAUGUUCGAAAUCAUAGCACUAAUGAAGCCAGUCCAGUUGAAUGAGAGCUCAGUCAAUGAUGCCACGGACACACCUGCAUUAGAUUCAUAACAUAGACAAAAUGAGCAGUACUUUAUCAGCCAUUAAUAGACAAAGCCUGUUUUUGGACUGCACAAAGCCAAUUCAAAUAAUAUGACUAACGUUUAUUACAUGAUAAACGCUCGUGCAAAAUCUAAGAGAGCUUCCACAUAUCAUGAAAAUACUAGAAUUAAUGGGAGGCUAGAGCUAAUUAAUCAAGAAGACAUGGUUUUGUAUCCCAAAAAGAACGUUGUCAGAUAUGAACUAGGUGCUAUGAAGUGCAUUUGCAGAUGCGAAAAACGAAGAGCUUACCAAUGACCACAGGUGCAAGUGAAAGCCAUAAGGUAAAGGGAAUUGACUGUCCUAGAAUGAAUUGAGAAGCAGCAGCGUUGAAGAAGGGCUCGAGCGCUGAAAAGAAACAAAACCAUUACUAGAGAAACAAGACUAUAACAGGUGUAAGAGUAAGACAAUGUUAGUAACACUUGAGUUAUUUAGUCCCCAGAAAUGGCAUAAUGAAAUGGCUUCUCUAUGUCACCUUUGAUCGUGUGGGUGAACGAGACAGCAACUGCUGCAAAUGAGACAUUACUGGUCACAUGGCCUAUUGCGUGACACAGAGCAACAGGUAUCAACAGCUUCAAGAGGUUUGAGUCAAUGGGCUACACAUAAAGCACUAGUAAAAAUUAUCAAAGGGAAAAUAAUAAAUCAUCUCACCUUCAUUAAGCACAAAGUUUAUACUGGCAGCGGUUUCUGCAUAUUUCAUCAAUUUUCACUUCCAGAUUAUUUAAAUCGAGAUAUUAAUUAUGGAUUAAAUCAAAAUCAGCUUAAAAUACACAAUCUGUAACUAUGAUUAUCAAGAUCAAAGGUCAUGCUAGUUUUAAAAUACCCAAACAGGCCUUAUUACAAUAGGUUAAAGCGAUGAAACGCAACAGAGAUCUGAUAAAGAAAGGGGGGAAAAAGUUAACAAAACCAAGUUAAUGGGCCUGAGAGAGCAUUCACUUACAGCGCGCUUAGGAAGACCAACAGCCCAGCUCACUGAACAGUACACAACUCCUACGAACAAAUGAAUCACUGACACAAAAUAAGGGUAAGGAAAAUAAUUAUAGAUCUUCUUGUUAAGGAUGUUAAAUAUCACGUUCAAGAAGUACCACAUGAAGAAGAAAAAUCCGGUGACAAGUGCCGGGUAUUUAUCAAAGAACCCGACGGGAGCAAUCUUUGCAUCCCCGGAGGAAUCGCUUCCCUCAGCAGGAGAAGAAGCGGCUGCCAUGUUCGGCCGGAGAAUCUCCCGUUUUCCUACUGGAUAGCUCUCCAGGAGCAGAGAUGGCCUGAGCUGCCUCCCCCAUAUGACAUUACCGCCUUCACCAACGGUUCCGAUUGGCUUCAUUGAAACAAAGCUGGAAGUAUUGCUCUCUCGCAUGGGCUUCCGUAAGUGAGGCAAGGACACGAUGGUGGUGGUUGUUGCGCGUGAUAACACUCGUGACUCCAUGACUACACUGAGAGAGAGAGAGAGAGAAAGAGCAAUAUUACCAGGAGAUAACUGAACCCCAGGA
rnacentral:misc_RNA from 1 species